rnacentral:lncRNA from 13 species
GUUCAUCUGUCAACCAAGAGAGCCUGCCCUACACAAUCUGCUGAGAAGAGGCCAGGUCUGUAAAGGAGUAACAUGCUCCAUUCAACCACUGCAUUAGUGAAGAUCUCAGGUAGUAAUGAAGGAUUUAACAUGGAGCCUCGUUUUACUCCGACUCAAAUGGCUUGUUCUGAUCAUGUUGUGUAAGAUCCAACAGUCUCAUUCUAGACUGCAUCCCGAAUGGCACCCUAUUGCCUAUAUAGGGAGCAGGGCCCCCUAGUGCGCUAUAGAGGGAACAGGGCCCCCUAGUGCACUAGAGAGAGAACAGGGUCCCCCUAGUACGCUAUAGAGGGAACAGGGCCCCCCUAGUGCACUAUAGAGGGAACAGGGCCCCCCUAGUGCGCUAUAGCGGGAGCAGGGCACCCUAGUGCACUACAGAGGGAACAGGGCCCCCCCUAGUGCGCUAUAGAGGGAACAGGGUCCCCCUAGUGCGCUAUAGAGGGAACAGGGCCCCCCUAGUGCACUAUAUAGGGAACAGGGUUCCCCAUAGUGCACUAUAGAGGGAACAGGGUCCCCCUAGUGCGCUAUAGAAGGAACAGGGUCCCCCUAGUGCACUAUAGAGGGAACAGGCCCCCCAUUGUGCACUAUAGAGGGAACAGGGCCCCCCUAGUGCACUAUAGAGGGANNNNNNNNNNUGGCAUCUCAACCUGGGUGACUUGGCAUCUCAACCUGGGUGACUUGGCAUUAGACUGGGUGACUUGGCAUCUCAACCUGGGUGACUUGGCAUUAGACUGGGUGACUUGGCAUCUCAACCUGGGUGACUUGGCAUCUCAACCUGGG